GCGUUGUUCGGAAUUACUGGGCGUAAAGCGCACGUAGGCGGACCAUCAAGUUGGGGGUGAAAUCCCGGGGCUCAACCCCGGAACUGCCUUCAAAACUGUUGGUCUGGAGGUCGAGAGAGGUGAGUGGAAUUCCGAGUGUAGAGGUGAAAUUCGUAGAUAUUCGGAGGAACACCAGUGGCGAAGGCGGCUCACUGGCUCGAUACUGACGCUGAGGUGCGAAAGCGUG
rnacentral:rRNA from 1 species